AAAUAUAUUUUUUAAAGAUUUAUUUAUUUAUUAUAUGUAAGUACACUGUAGCUGUCUUCAGACACUCCAGAAGAGGGAGUCAGAUCUUGUUACAGAUGGUUGUGAGCCACCAUGUGGUUGCUGGGAUUUGAACUCUGGACCUUCGGAAGAGCAGUCGGGUGCUCUUACCCACUGAGCCAUCUCACCAGCCCGGUUAAGAGACUCUUAAAGUUCACUGGCUUUUAAAUCCACAAUUUACAGAUUCAUCUCCUAAGCUGGAGAGAGGGUUCAGUGGUGAAGAGCCCUAUCCGUUCAGUCCCAGCCCCGUCUCUUCAGGCAGCUUACAACUUCCUAUAACUAGCGCCCUGGGGAUCAAGUGCCUUACAGAGCCUGAAUUACAUGUUCAUACCCCACACUGGGACAUGUGUGCGUAGUUUUAAAGCAAUACAAGUUAUAAAGGUCUCUGUCUUGAUUAAUGAAUGCCCAACUGUUUCUGACUGGUUUUACAGUUGUGACCCAAUAAAUAACCGUUAGUGCAGGGGUAGACCUUGUACAUGUUAGGUGCCACUGAGUUAUGUACCUAACUGUUAUUAAUAUGGAGAUGAGUCUACCUUCACCCCCACUGAGGUAGUUUUUCUGAUAGGCCACAGUUUUUUCCUCUAAACUUGUAAUUCUCUUUCUGAGACAGUCAAGUUUGUGAUCCAAAGCUGUCUCAAACUCAACAUGUAGCCUACUAAGCAACUUGGAUUUAACCUGCAAUCCUCCUGCCUCAGCUUCCUAUGUACACCACACAUAGCUGCUUAUAUUCAUUCUUUUUGACAUUUUUCUUGGUGUGUUGCCUAACUAGAUUAUAUUUUCAGGCUUCCGUGUACAAGAUUUGCAGAGAAAUGUAUGAUGAUGGAGUGGGUUUCCCUUUUCAAAGUCAACCUGACCUUAUUGGAGACAAGUACGUGAGAGCUACCUGGCUUGGGCAGUAGACACUUCUUCGAGCAAGGUUUGGGUUAGGGGAGGUGUUGACUGGAGGGAGUGUUUAAUUCCAAUUUAAUCCUAAGUCUGAAAACGGAUGUUAGGUCUAUUUUCAUUUCCUGAUAUUCCAAAGGUUGGGUUCAUAAGCUAGGUGCAGUGGCCCUAGUGUCACUGGUUGUGAACUCUGUUAGUAGUUGACAUGCUCAUUCCGGCUUCCUUCCUUCUGAGCAGGUUAGUAGGAGGACUGCUCUCCCUCAGCCUGGAUUACUGCUUCGUCCUAGAAGAUGAAGAUGGCAUUUGUGGUUAUGCCUUAGGCACAGUAGAUGUGACCCCCUUCAUUAAAAAGUGUAAAAUUUCCUGGAUUCCCUUCAUGCAAGAGAAGUAUACCAAGCCAAAUGGUGACAAAGAGCUCUCAGAGGCUGAGGUAACUCACUGGUUUAGAAUUAUGAUAAUUUAAAAAUCACCAAGUGUGAUGGUACAUUCCUUUUAUCCAGCAUUCAGGAGGCAGAAGCAGGUUUGAGGCCAGUCUGGCCUGCGUAGCAAGUUUCAGGCCAGCCAGAUUGACCAGGGAAAGUGUCUUUUUUUUUUUUUUUUAAAGAAAAGCUCUCCUGAGCCCUGAGAGGAAGGGCGUGGCUGCCACACCCAGCCUGCAGUGCUUUGUUUUCUCUUUAUUUAUUUUUACUAACUUAACUUAACUUUACUUAACUUUAUUUUACUAACUUGUUUAAUUUCAUGUGAUGCACUCAGUUACAAUAUUGGUGCUUAUUUGUUUUGUUUCAAUUUUUUAACAGUUUGUCUGUACAAGUGUUUUGUUUGUGUGUAUGCCUGUAUACCAAGUGUGUACCUGGUAUUCCCUUUGGCCAUCAGAUCUAGAACUGGAAUCACAUGGCUGUGAGCUAUGAUGUGGAUCCUCAUGACCCUCUGAAAAACAGCAAGAGCUUUUAACUGCUGAGCUGUCUUUGCUCUGAAUUACAGUUUUUGAGACAGAGUCACGUGUAGUCCAGGCUUUCCAUGAGCCCCUGAUCCUCCUCCCUCUACCUAUGGCAAGUGAUAGGCGAGACCUACCACUUGGCAGCUAAUUGUCUUAAGUUUCGUUUGGUUUUUAUAAAAAUCCUGUUUGAUGGCCACAGCUGGAAUCUUGAAUCUUUUGAGUGGAGAUUCUAAUAUGGCUUUUGAAAAGAUGGUCUUCUUGAUGGGGAGACUAGCUUUGUGUAGGUUGGGGGUAAGCCUUGGCAGAGUUGCCCUGGGCAUCAAUCCAGACCCCAGUUGAAGUGCAGUACUCAUCUCCUAGAUGUUGGUAGUUUCUAGAACACAGGAGCAGAAAUGAUGUGGCAUCAUGCAUGGGACAAUCUGGGCUCGCCAGUCUUGUUCCCCUUGUAGCUUCUUUCUCCAAAGGACAAAUGAGAAGCAUGACCAUGGCCUUUUGGACAGCAGCAGCUGCCACCUUUGGGGAGAUCAGCUUCAGGACAAAUGUAGCGAACCCCCAGGAAUGACACGGAAUCUGCUCUGGCAGCCUAAGUCUGCUUUUGCACUGGCAGAAAUAAGCAAAAGG
rnacentral:lncRNA from 1 species